rnacentral:misc_RNA from 1 species
GCCAUUUUGGCUAGUGACGGCCUUCCUUGCAUCUGAGCUUGGUUGGUGGCUAUUAGUUGUGUGGUUUUGGGGAUGUCUACCGUAAAGGUGCAUGAGUGGUGUUUGGUUUGUUACGGGUGGUUGGCUCUUUGCUUGCGCAAGAACUUCCACCUGGCAUUCCUCUUCAUUUUUUUUUCAAUGCUUAGAUUGCACUGAAUGCACGUUGGGUUUCUUGUGUUGCAUGCCUAAUUGAUGGUAUCGCGUGACGAAUCGAUUUAUUUUCGUCUUUUGUCGCACAUGCGAUGCGAGACGAACCUUAAAGCACAGCCUUUGUGAUCCACUCUUUUGAUGCACUCGCAUUGAUUUAUUUGGCUCGUUGAGUGUUUGCUUGGUCUCAUGGAUAUGGAACCUUGUGUGGGCAUGUGAUCUUUUACUAGAUCAUUGUUUGCCCAAGCUAAGCUCUUUCAAAUACGAUUUCCUAUCAUGUUCUAACGUGGUAGGCUAUAUCGAAUAUGAAUGCUACCUGG